GUUACGCAUAUAGCUUCUUUUUGUUGGCAUCAAUAAAGCACAAUUACUCCCAACAGUCGUGCUUUUGGCAGAAAAGUUAUGAUUUCGGGGUACUGUCCUGCCGUACUGAUUUACUUGGUUUCUCACAUCUGGGGACACCAGGUAAGUGUCCUUGGGCAUCACAGAAUCUGCACAUCAUUAGACACGCUCACACUGUUCAGC